CGUAAGACGGGGAUAACUCCGGGAAACCGGGGCUAAUACCGGAUGAAACUUAAGACUACCUAGUCUAAAGUUGAAAGAUGGCUUAUGGCUAUCGCUUACAGAUGGGCCCGCGGCGCAUUAGCUAGUUGGUGAGGUAACGGCUCACCAAGGCGACGAUGCGUAGCCGACCUGAGAGGGUGAUCGGCCACACUGGGACUGAGACACGGCCCAGACUCCUACGGGAGGCAGCAGUAGGGAAUCUUCCGCAAUGGACGAAAGUCUGACGGAGCAACGCCGCGUGAGUGAAGAAGGUUUUCGGAUCGUAAAGCUCUGUUGUUAGGGAAGAACAAGUACCGUUCGAAUAGGGCGGUACCUUGACGGUACCUAACCAGAAAGCCACGGCUAACUACGUGCCAGCAGCCGCGGUAAUACGUAGGUGGCAAGCGUUGUCCGGAAUUAUUGGGCGUAAAGCGCGCGCAGGCGGUUCUUUAAGUCUGAUGUGAAAUCUUGCGGCUCAACCGCAAGCGGUCAUUGGAAACUGGGGAACUUGAGUGCAGAAGAGGAGAGUGGAAUUCCACGUGUAGCGGUGAAAUGCGUAGAGAUGUGGAGGAACACCAGUGGCGAACGCGACUCUCUGGUCUGUAACUGACGCUGACGCGCGAAAGCGUGGGGAGCGACAGGAUUAGAUACCCUGGUAGUCCACGCCGUAAACGAUGAGUGCUAAGUGUUAGAGGGUUUCCGUCCUUUAGUGCUGCAGCAAACGCAUUAAGCACUCGGCCUUGGGGAGUACGGUCGCAAG
rnacentral:rRNA from 1 species